rnacentral:rRNA from 1 species
AGUCGGGAAUUUUGGGCAAUGGGCGAAAGCCUGACCCAGCAACGCCGCGUGAGGGAUGAAGUAUUUCGGUAUGUAAACCUCGAAAGAAUGGGAAGAAUAAAUGACGGUACCAUUUAUAAGCUCCGGCUAACUACGUGCCAGCAGCCGCGGUAAUACGUAGGGAGCAAGCGUUGUUCGGAUUUACUGGGCGUAAAGGGCGCGUAGGCGGCGCGGUAAGUCACUUGUGAAAUCUCUGAGCUUAACUCAGAACGGCCAAGUGAUACUGCUGUGCUUGAGUGCGGAAGAGGCGACCGGAAUUCUGGGUGUAGCGGUGAAAUGCGUAGAUAUCAAGAGGAACACCUGAGGCGAAGGCGGGUUGCUGGGCCGACACUGACGCUGAUGCGCGAAAGCCAGGGGAGCAAAC